AGCAUGCCGCGGUGAAUACGUUCCCGGGCCUUGUACACACCGCCCGUCACACCAUGGUAGUUGGUUUUACCCGAAGGGAGUGCGCUAACCGCAAGGAGGCAGCUAACCACGGUAGGGUCAGCGACUGGGGUGAAGUCGUAACAAGGUAGCCGUAGGGGAACCUGCGGCUGGAUCACCUCCUUUCUAAGG
rnacentral:rRNA from 1 species